rnacentral:lncRNA from 1 species
GAUUAAGAAAAUGCUUGAUAAACACACUUUGACAACACAUUUUAAAAAUACAAGAUGCACAAAAAAUCAGGCAUUACAUAAUGAGUGAAUAGAAACCUUAUAUAACGGAGUCAUCAAUUUCUAAGAAAUGGAGAGGACUCCACUCAUCUAAUAUAACUCCAGAAUAUGCUGAGUAAAGUAAUAUUAUUGGGAAUUUUUUAUGAUGUUAUUUCCUUUGAUAUAUGGGACUGUGUUUAGUUUACUGUUUAUAAUAAUACUAGAAACCUGGAAGGAAAAAAAAAAAAAAAACAUUUUCCAUCUCCAAGAAGGGAAAAGUGGCAAAAAUCAUUAGGAAGUCAUGUGUUUUGAUUGUAUUACACCUUGCAUGUGUGUGGGUUCCUCAUACCAAUUAAGCUUCUGUAUAUUGCAGUCUAGAGUCUAGACACAGAGUGUUAAAAGGCCAAAACUCCCAAAUAUGGAGAUCUAUGGUGGGGUUCUCAUUAAUUUAAUGGAAACGCUUUUGUUAAUUUUGAUAUAAUGGUAUGGUAUGCAUGUACUCUAGUCAAAAGAAAUUGAGUAGUACUACGUAUACUGCACAGGGGGUGGUGUAAGGGUGGCCUAUAUUGCAAGUGCAUCAUUCAUAUGGGAUGCAGCCUGCAGCUGGCUGUAAAAGACCAGGCUGGUUAAAUUAAGGUCUGCACGCUGGACUAUCUUUUCUUUGUAGUGUCUCUCUAUAUAUAGAUCUUUUCAAUCUCUACCAUACAUGUGGAAAAAUCAUCAUACACCUGUUCUUUGAACCAAUGGGUAAAUGAAUUAUCAUUUUAAUGAAACUGUUUGAUUUACCAAAAGCCGCAACCAAAUAGCAU